GAUAGAUCUUAUUUGGCAGUCUCGAGUAAAAUCAUAUAGAAGAAUAUUCACUUACGCAUCGACUCGAAGGUUCGGGAAUCAUGUGGCUGAUAUCUUAAGGUCUCAAUGAAGAGGCAGAAAGUUCCUUUAUGUGAUGUGGGGUAGAGGGAUUCCAUUAGAGCUAUAUAGGCCCUCCCUUGGAAAUGACUUGUGCAAGCAUGGCUUGCUAAAGAGCAUAAGUUGCUUGAAGAUACUCCACAAUUUCGGCACUUUCAAACAUACGCACCCCUGUGUUGGGGUCAUCUAAGUAUGGAACCUGGAAGUGUCCCUCUUUCUCAUACAACUCUUGUCGUUUAGGGCUCCCACGAGCACAACAAUGUACUAAAUGC
rnacentral:misc_RNA from 1 species